UGAGCAAUCUGCCCUUCUCUUCGGAAUAAGCGUUGGAAACGACGUCUAAUGCCGAAUACGACCUCCUUUCGCAUGAUCGGAGGUGGAAAGCUCCGGCGGAGAAGGAUGAGCUCGCGGCCUAUCAGCUAGUUGGUGUGGGUAAUGGCCCACCAAGGCGACGACGGGUAGCCGGCCUGAGAGGGUGACCGGCCACACUGGGACUGAGACGCGGCCCAGACUCCGUACGGGAGCAGCG
rnacentral:rRNA from 1 species